CCUACGGGUGGGCUGCAGUGGGGAAUAUUGGACAAUGGGCGAAAGCCUGAUCCAGCCAUGCCGCGUGUGUGAAGAAGGCCUUCGGGUUGUAAAGCACUUUCAGUGGGGAAGAAAGCCUUGGGGCUAAUACCCUCGAGGAAGGACAUCACCCACAGAAGAAGCACCGGCUAACUCCGUGCCAGCAGCCGCGGUAAUACGGAGGGUGCGAGCGUUAAUCGGAAUUACUGGGCGUAAAGCGCGCGUAGGCGGUCUGAUAAGCCGGUUGUGAAAGCCCCGGGCUCAACCUGGGAACGGCAUCCGGAACUGUCAGGCUAGAGUGCAGGAGAGGAAGGUAGAAUUCCCGGUGUAGCGGUGAAAUGCGUAGAGAUCGGGAGGAAUACCAGUGGCGAAGGCGGCCUUCUGGACUGACACUGACGCUGAGGUGCGAAAGCGUGGGUAGCAAACAGGAUUAGAUACCCGAUAGU
rnacentral:rRNA from 1 species